UACGUAGGGGGCGAGCGUUACCCGGAUUUACUGGGCGUAAAGAGCGUGUAGGCGGCUGGCCAAGCGUGAUGUGAAAUCUUCGGGCUUAACCCGAAAACUGCAUUGCGAACUGGUCUGGCUAGAGUGUGUGAGAGGGUAGUGGAAUUCCCGGUGUAGCGGUGAAAUACGUAGAUAUCGGGAGGAACACCAGUGGCGAAGGCGGCUACCUGGCACAUAACUGACGCUGAUACGCGAAAGCGUGGGGAGCAAACAGG
rnacentral:rRNA from 1 species